GUCCCUACGAGACGCAGCAGUGAGGAAUAUUGGUCAAUGGCCGAGAGGCUGAACCAGCCAAGUCGCGUGAGGGAUGACGGCCCUACGGGUUGUAAACCUCUUUUGCCGGGGAGCAAAGAGCGGGACGCGUCCCGCCUCGAGAGUACCCGGAGAAAAAGCAUCGGCUAACUCCGUGCCAGCAGCCGCGGUAAUACGGAGGAUGCGAGCGUUAUCCGGAUUUAUUGGGUUUAAAGGGUGCGCAGGCGGAAGCGCAAGUCAGCGGUAAAAUUGAGAGGCUCAACCUAUUGCCGCCGUGGAAACUGCAU
rnacentral:rRNA from 1 species